rnacentral:rRNA from 1 species
UACAGAGGUCGCGAGCGUUAAUCGGAUUUACUGGGCGUAAAGCGUGUGUAGGUGGUUAUACAAGUCGGUUGUGAAAUCCCCGGGCUCAACCUGGGAACUGCUUCCGAGACUGCAUGACUAGAGAUCGGUAGAGGGCGGUGGAAUUUCCGGUGUAGCGGUGAAAUGCGUAGAUAUCGGAAGGAACACCAAUGGCGAAGGCAGCCGCCUGGGCCUGAUCUGACACUGAGACACGAAAGCGUGGGGAGCGAACAGG